rnacentral:rRNA from 2 species
UGCGCAGGCGGUCUUGCAAGUCAGAUGUGAAAGCCCCGGGCUUAACCUGGGAAUUGCGUUUGAAACUACAAGGCUAGAGUGCAGCAGAGGGGAGUGGAAUUCCAUGUGUAGCAGUGAAAUGCGUAGAGAUGUGGAAGAACACCGAUGGCGAAGGCAGCUCCCUGGGUUGACACUGACGCUCAUGCACGAAAGCGUGGGGAGCAAACA